rnacentral:rRNA from 1 species
UACAGAGGUCUCAAGCGUUGUUCGGAUUCAUUGGGCGUAAAGGGUGCGUAGGUGGUGUGGUAAGUCGGGUGUGAAAUUUCGGAGCUUAACUCCGAAACUGCAUUCGAUACUGCCGUGCUUGAGGACUGGAGAGGAGACUGGAAUUUACGGUGUAGCAGUGAAAUGCGUAGAGAUCGUAAGGAAGACCAGUGGCGAAGGCGGGUCUCUGGACAGUUCCUGACACUGAGGCACGAAGGCCAGGGGAGCAAACGGG